rnacentral:rRNA from 1 species
UGGCGGUAUGCCUAACACCUGCAAGUCGUACGAGAGUUUUAAACUCAAGUGGUGGACGGGUGAGUAACACGUGAGAAUUUACCUUUAGGAGGGGGAUAACAAUUGGAAACGAUUGCUAAUACCCCAUAUGCUUGAGAGUGAAAUAGAUUUAUCUGCCUAAAGAAAAGCUCGCGGCUGAUUAGCUAGUUGGUAAGGUAAUAGCUUACCAAGGCGACGAUCAGUAUCUGGUUUGAGAGGAUGAUCAGACACACUGGAACUGAGACACGGUCCAGACUCCUACGGGAGGCAGCAGUGGGGAAUUUUCCGCAAUGGGCGAAAGCCUGACGGAGCAAUACCGCGUGAGGGAAGACGGCCUAUGGGUUGUAAACCUCUUUUUUCAGGGAGGAAUCACUGACGUGUACCUGAAGAAUAAGCAUCGGCUAACUCCGUGCCAGCAGCCGCGGUAAGACGGAGGAUGCAAGUGUUAUCCGGAAUCACUGGGCGUAAAGCGUCUGUAGGUGGUUUGGUAAGUCAACUGUUAAAUCUUGAGGCUCAACCUCAAAAUCGCAGUCGAAACUAUUAGACUAGAGUAUAGUAGGGGUAAAGGGAAUUUCCAGUGGAGCGGUGAAAUGCGUAGAGAUUGGAAAGAACACUGAUGGCGAAGGCACUUUACUGGGCUAUUACUGACACUCAGAGACGAAAGCUAGGGUAGCAAAUGGGAUUAGAUA